UACCAUGAUGAUCAACUCAAAUUAAUAACUUUCGUUCUACCGAUUUACAUCAAACGAUGUUGUGGAGAAAUUGAUUCACUGACC
rnacentral:snoRNA from 1 species